rnacentral:rRNA from 1 species
AUACGGAGGGGACUAGCGUUGUUCGGAAUUACUGGGCGUAAAGCGUACGUAGGCGGAUCAGAAAGUAUGGGGUGAAAUCCCAGGGCUCAACCCUGGAACUGCCUCAUAAACUCCUGGUCUUGAGUUCGAGAGAGGUGAGUGGAAUUCCGAGUGUAGAGGUGAAAUUCGUAGAUAUUCGGAGGAACACCAGUGGCGAAGGCGGCUCACUGGCUCGGUACUGACGCUGAGGUACGAAAGUGUGGGGAGCAAACAGGAUUAGAAACCCGAGUAGUCC